rnacentral:rRNA from 1 species
UACGUAGGGUGCAAGCGUCGUCCGGAAUUAUUGGGCGUAAAGAGCGUGUAGGCGGCCCGACAAGUCCGCUGUGAAAGUCCAGGGCUCAACCCUGGAAUGCCGGUGGAUACUGUCGGGCUAGAGUCCGGAAGGGGCGAGUGGAAUUCCUGGUGUAGCGGUGAAAUGCGCAGAUAUCAGGAGGAACACCAAUGGCGAAGGCAGCUCGCUGGGACGUGACUGACGCUGAGACGCGAAAGCGUGGGGAGCGAACAGG